UAUUGUUCAGGGGGCGGGGCCACAUGGGGACCACUGCUCAGGAGAGGAGAGCUGUCAGUCUGUUUGUGACGGUUCAUCACCAUGGUGACCAGUGAACAGGUUCAUCACCAUGGUGACCAGUGAACAGGGUUCAUCACCAUGGUGACCAGUGUACAGGUUCAUCACCAUGGUGACCAGUGAACAGGGUUCAUCACCAUGGUGACCAGUGAACAGGUUCAUCACAUGGUGACCAGUGAACAGGUUCAUCCACAUGCUGACCAGUGAACAGGUUCAUCACCAUGGUGACCAGUGAACAGGUUCAUCACCAUGCUGACCAGUGAACAGGUUCAUCACAUGGUGACCAGUGAACAGGGUUCAUCACCAUGGUGACCAGUGAACAGGUUCAUCACCAUGCUGACCAGUGAACAGGGUUCAUCACCAUGGUGACCAGUGAACAGGUUCAUCACAUGGUGACCAGUGGACAGGUUCAUCACCAUGGUGACCAGUGAACAGGUUCAUCACCAUGGUGACCAGUGGGUCUCCAGGACCUUUCCAUGACUUUAAACCAAAUUUCCAUGAUUAAACAUUUUGUGAAAACUCUGUCUAUACGUGACAAAGUGAGAAGAUGUAGUGUUUAAAAUAACAAUGAGAAUUCCAAAGCAUACCGUAUAUAUACCGUGUAAAUUAACAUUUGAAUAAAACAAAUUUUCAUUACUUUUCCAAAUAUUUUGGGAUUUUAUUUUUUUCAAUUACUUUUCUAGGCCUGCUAAUAGCCAUUUAAAAAUUCCAUGACUUUUCCAGGUUUUCCAUGACCGUACGGACCCUGUUUUGAAUAAAGGGUUCAAAAUUAAA